rnacentral:rRNA from 1 species
UAGCUAGUUGGUGAGGUAAAGGCUUACCAAGGCGACGAUCUGUAGCGGGUCUGAGAGGAUGAUCCGCCACACUGGAACUGAGACACGGUCCAGACUCCUACGGGAGGCAGCAGUGGGGAAUUUUGGACAAUGGGGGCAACCCUGAUCCAGCCAUGCCGCGUGAGUGAAGAAGGCCUUCGGGUUGUAAAGCUCUUUCGGCCGGGAAGAAAUCGCAUGGGCCAAUACCCUGUGUGGAUGACGGUACCGGAAUAAGAAGCACCGGCUAACUACGUGCCAGCAGCCGCGGUAAUACGUAGGGUGCGAGCGUUAAUCGGAAUUACUGGGCGUAAAGCGUGCGCAGGCGGUUUUGUAAGACAGGCGUGAAAUCCCCGGGCUUAACCUGGGAACUGCGUUUGUGACUGCAAGGCUAGAGUACGGCAGAGGGGGGUGGAAUUCCACGUGUAGCAGUGAAAUGCGUAGAGAUGUGGAGGAACACCAAUGGCGAAGGCAGCCCCCUGGGUCGAUACUGACGCUCAUGCACGAAAGCGUGGGUAGCAAACAGGAUUAGAUACCCUGGUAGUCCACGCCCUAAACUAUGUCAACUAGGUGUUGGGUGGGUAAAACCAUUUAGUACCGUAGCUAACGCGUGAAGUUGACCGCCUGGGGAGUACGGCCGCAAGGUUAAAACUCAAAGGAAUUGACGGGGACCCGCACAAGCGGUGGAUGAUGUGGAUUAAUUCGAUGCAACGCGAAAAACCUUACCUACCCUUGACAUGCCAGGAACUUGCCAGAGAUGGCUUGGUGCCCGAAAGGGAGCCUGGACACAGGUGCUGCAUGGCUGUCGUCAGCUCGUGUCGUGAGAUGUUGGGUUAAGUCCCGCAACGAGCGCAACCCUUGUCGUUAAUUGCCAUCAUUUAGUUGGGCACUUUAACGAGACUGCCGGUGACAAACCGGAGGAAGGUGGGGAUGACGUCAAGUCCUCAUGGCCCUUAUGGGUAGGGCUUCACACGUCAUACAAUGGUCGGUACAAAGGGUUGCCAAGCCGCGAGGCGGAGCCAAUCCCAGAAAGCCGAUCGUAGUCCGGAUUGCAGGCUGCAACUCGCCUGCAUGAAGUCGGAAUCGCUAGUAAUCGUGGAUCAGCAUGUCACGGUGAAUACGUUCCCGGGUCUUGUACACACCGCCCGUCACACCAUGGGAGCGGGUUCCGCCAGAAGUAGGUAGCCUAACCGCAAGGGGGGCGCUUACCACGGCGGGGUUCGUGACUGGGGUGAAGUCGAAACAAGGUAGCCGUAGGGAACCUGCGGCUG